rnacentral:rRNA from 1 species
GACGAACCGUGCGAACGUUAUUCGGAAUCACUGGGCUUAAAGCGCGUGUAGGCGGGCGGGAACGUCGGUCGCUGAAAUCCCCCGGCUCAACCGGGGAAGGGGCGCCGAAACGGCUCGCCUGGAGGGACGUAGGGGGGGCUGGAACUUCCGGUGGAGCGGUGAAAUGCGUUGAGAUCGGAAGGAACGCCCGUGGCGAAAGCGAGCCCCUGGACGUUUUUCUGACGCUGAGACGCGAAAGCCAGGGGAGCGAACGGGG